rnacentral:rRNA from 1 species
UACGAAGGGUGCAAGCGUUGUUCGGAAUCACUGGGCGUAAAGGGCGUGUAGGCGGUCAGGUAAGUGGAAUGUGAAAUCCCUCGGCUCACCCGAGGACCUGCAUCCCAAACUGCCUGGCUUGAGUAUGGGAGAGGAUGAGGGAAUUCCUGGUGUAGCGGUGAAAUGCGUAGAUAUCAGGAGGAACACCGGUGGCGAAGGCGCUCAUCUGGCCCAAUACUGACGCUGAAGCGCGAAAGCUAGGGGAGCAAACGGG